UACCCGCAGCCCAAGUGGUGGUCACGAUUAUUGGGCCUAAAGCGCUCGUAGCCGGGUCAACAAGUCCCUUGUGAAAUCGGACGGCCUAACCGUUCGGCUUGCAAGGGAUACUGUUGGUCUCGAGGCCGGGAGACGUCUGAGGUACUCCGGGGGUAGCGGUGAAAUGCUGUAAUCCUCGGGGGACCACCAGUGGCGAAGGCGUCAGACGAGAACGGACCUGACGGUGAGGGGCGAAGGCUAGGGGAGCGAA
rnacentral:rRNA from 1 species